rnacentral:rRNA from 1 species
AUUGAACGCUGGCGGCAGGCCUAACACAUGCAAGUCGAACGAGUGGCGGACGGGUGAGUAAUGUCUGGGAAACUGCCUGAUGGCGGGGGAUAACUAAUGGAAACGGUAGCUAUUACCGCAUACCAUCAGAUGUGCCCAGAUGGGUUUAGCUUGUUGGUGGGGUAACGGCUCACCACGGCGACGAGCCCUAGCUGGUCUGAGAGGAUGACCAGCGACACUGGAACUGAGACACGGUCCAGACUCCUCCGGGAGGCAGCGUUGGGGAAUAUUGGACAAUGGGCGCAAGCCUGAUGCAGCCAUGCCGCGUGUAUGAAGAAGGCCGUCGGGUUGUAAGGUACGUUCAGCGGGGAGGCGUUACCCGCAGAAGAAGCACCGGCUAACUCCGUGCCAGCCGCCGCGGUAAUUC